rnacentral:rRNA from 1 species
GAAAGCGUAAUAGCUCACUGGUCGAGUCGGCCUGCGCGGAAGAUGUAACGGGGCUAAACCAUGCACCGAAGCUGCGGCAGCGACGCUUAUGCGUUGUUGGGUAGGGGAGCGUUCUGUAAGCCUGUGAAGGUGUGCUGUGAGGCAUGCUGGAGGUAUCAGAAGUGCGAAUGCUGACAUAAGUAACGAUAAAGCGGGUGAAAAGCCCGCUCGCCGGAAGACCAAGGGUUCCUGUCCAACGUUAAUCGGGGCAGGGUGAGUCGACCCCUAAGGCGAGGCCGAAAGGCGUAGUCGAUGGGAAACAGGUUAAUAUUCCUGUACUUGGUGUUACUGCGAAGGGGGGACGGAGAAGGCUAUGUUGGCCGGGCGACGGUUGUCCCGGUUUAAGCGUGUAGGCUGGUUUUCCAGGCAAAUCCGGAAAAUCAAGGCUGAGGCGUGAUGACGAGGCACUACGGUGCUGAAGCAACAAAUGCCCUGCUUCCAGGAAAAGCCUCUAAGCAUCAGGUAACAUCAAAUCGUACCCCAAACCGACACAGGUGGUCAGGUAGAGAAUACCAAGGCGCUUGAGAGAACUCGGGUGAAGGAACUAGGCAAAAUGGUGCCGUAACUUCGGGAGAAGGCACGCUGAUAUGUAGGUGAAGCGACUUGCUCGUGGAGCUGAAAUCAGUCGAAGAUACCAGCUGGCUGCAACUGUUUAUUAAAAACACAGCACUGUGCAAACACGAAAGUGGACGUAUACGGUGUGACGCCUGCCCGGUGCCGGAAGGUUAAUUGAUGGGGUUAGCGCAAGCGAAGCUCUUGAUCGAAGCCCCGGUAAACGGCGGCCGUAACUAUAACGGUCCUAAGGUAGCGAAAUUCCUUGUCGGGUAAGUUCCGACCUGCACGAAUGGCGUAAUGAUGGCCAGGCUGUCUCCACCCGAGACUCAGUGAAAUUGAACUCGCUGUGAAGAUGCAGUGUACCCGCGGCAAGACGGAAAGACCCCGUGAACCUUUACUAUAGCUUGACACUGAACAUUGAGCCUUGAUGUGUAGGAUAGGUGGGAGGCUUUGAAGUGUGGACGCCAGUCUGCAUGGAGCCGACCUUGAAAUACCACCCUUUAAUGUUUGAUGUUCUAACGUUGACCCGUGAUCCGGGUUGCGGACAGUGUCUGGUGGGUAGUUUGACUGGGGCGGUCUCCUCCUAAAGAGUAACGGAGGAGCACGAAGGUUGGCUAAUCCUGGUCGGACAUCAGGAGGUUAGUGCAAUGGCAUAAGCCAGCUUGACUGCGAGCGUGACGGCGCGAGCAGGUGCGAAAGCAGGUCAUAGUGAUCCGGUGGUUCUGAAUGGAAGGGCCAUCGCUCAACGGAUAAAAGGUACUCCGGGGAUAACAGGCUGAUACCGCCCAAGAGUUCAUAUCGACGGCGGUGUUUGGCACCUCGAUGUCGGCUCAUCACAUCCUGGGGCUGAAGUAGGUCCCAAGGGUAUGGCUGUUCGCCAUUUAAAGUGGUACGCGAGCUGGGUUUAGAACGUCGUGAGACAGUUCGGUCCCUAUCUGCCGUGGGCGCUGGAGAACUGAGGGGGGCUGCUCCUAGUACGAGAGGACCGGAGUGGACGCAUCACUGGUGUUCGGGUUGUCAUGCCAAUGGCACUGCCCGGUAGCUAAAUGCGGAAGAGAUAAGUGCUGAAAGCAUCUAAGCACGAAACUUGCCCCGAGAUGAGUUCUCCCUGACUCCUUGAGAGUCCUGAAGGAACGUUGAAGACGACGACGUUGAUAGGCCGGGUGUGUAAGCGCAGCGAUGCGUUGAGCUAACCGGUACUAAUGAACCGUGAGGCUUAACCUU